UACAGAGGUCUCAAGCGUUGUUCGGAAUUACUGGGCGUAAAGGGUGCGCAGGCCGCGCGGGCAGUCAAAUGUGUAAUCCAGGGGCUCAACCCCUGAACUGCGCUUGAUACUUCCGCGCUCGAGCUUUGGAGAGGAGUCUGGAAUUCUCGGUGUAGCAGUGAAAUGCGCAGAUAUCAGGAGGAACACCGGUGGCGAAGGCGGUUCUCGUGGGAAUGUCCUCGACGCUGAGG
rnacentral:rRNA from 1 species